UGGGGAAUCUUCCGCAAUGGGCGAAAGCCUGACGGAGCAACGCCGCGUGAGUGAUGACGGCCUUCGGGUUGUAAAACUCUGUGAUCCGGGACGAAAAGGCAGAGUGCGAAGAACAAACUGCAUUGACGGUACCGGAAAAGCAAGCCACGGCUAACUACGUGCCAGCAGCCGCGGUAAUACGUAGGUGGCAAGCGUUGUCCGGAAUUAUUGGGCGUAAAGCGCGCGCAGGCGGCUUCCCAAGUCCCUCUUAAAAGUGCGGGGCUUAACCCCGUGAUGGGAAGGAAACUGGGAAGCUGGAGUAUCGGAGAGGAAAGUGGAAUUCCUAGUGUAGCGGUGAAAUGCGUAGAGAUUAGGAAGAACACCGGUGGCGAAGGCGACUUUCUGGACGAAAACUGACGCUGAGGCGCGAAAGCGUGGGGAGCAAACAGGAUUAGAUACCCUGGUAGUCCACGCCGUAAACGAUGGAUACUAGGUGUAGGAGGUAUCGACCCCUUCUGUGCCGGAGUUAACGCAAUAAGUAUCCCGCCUGGGAAGUACGAUCGCAAGAUUA
rnacentral:rRNA from 1 species